rnacentral:rRNA from 1 species
GUGAGGAAUAUUGGUCAAUGGGCGAGAGCCUGAACCAGCCAAGUAGCGUGCAGGAUGACGGCCCUAUGGGUUGUAAACUGCUUUUAUACAGGGAUAAAGUGACGUACGUGUACGUUUUUGUAGGUACUGUAUGAAUAAGGACCGGCUAAUUCCGUGCCAGCAGCCGCGGUAAUACGGAAGGUCCGGGCGUUAUCCGGAUUUAUUGGGUUUAAAGGGAGCGCAGGCUGAUUAUUAAGCGUGACGUGAAAUGUAGCCGCUCAACGGCUGAACUGCGUCGCGAACUGGUAGUCUUGAGUGAGUUCGAUGUUGGCGGAAUUCGUGGUGUAGCGGUGAAAUGCUUAGAUAUCACGAAGAACUCCGAUUGCGAAGGCAGCCGACAAGGCCUUUACUGACGCUAAAGCUCGAAGGUGCGGGUAUCGAACAGGAUUAGAUACCCUAGUAGUCC